AGGAGCAGCCGAAGGCAGGUCUGAUAACUGGGGUGAAGUCGUAACAAGGUAGCCGUAUCGGAAGGUGCGGCUGGAUCACCUCCUUUCUAAGGCGA
rnacentral:rRNA from 1 species